rnacentral:rRNA from 1 species
GCGUGAGGGAUGAAGUAUCUCGGUAUGUAAACCUCUUUUGCCAGGUCGUCGAGGCCUGGAGAAUAAGCACCUACUAACUACGUCAGGCCAGCAGUCGCGGUAAUACGUAGGGUGCAAGCGUUAUCCGGAAUUACUGGGCGUAAAGAGUCGCGUAGGCGUUUUCAUACGUCAUGUCUUAAAUAGUGAGGCCUAACCUCAUCGUUGGAUGUGAGACUAUGAGAAUUUGAAGUAGAUAGAGGUACCUGGAACUCGUGGUGGAGUAGUGAAAUGCGUUGAUAUCACGAGGAACACCAAAGGCGAAGGCAAGGUACUGGGUCUUACUUGACGCUGAGGCACGAAAGCUCGGGGAGCGAAGCAGAUUAGAGACCUGCGUAGUCCGAGCCCUAAACGCAUGGAUGCUAGAUUGUCCGCCCUAGGCGGACUGUCGUAAGCUAACGCGUUAAGCAUCCCGCCUGGGGACUACGAGCGCAAGCUUAAAACUCAAAGGAAUUGACGGGGACCCGCACAACCAGUGGAGCAUGUGGUUCAAUUCGAGACGAAGCGAAAGACCUCACCAGGGUUUGACAUGUACCUGCAUACGUCAGAAAUGACGUAGCCUUCGAGGGUGGUACAAAGCUGCUGCAUGGCUGUCGUCAGCUCGUGCCGUGGGGUGUUGGCUUAAGUGCCAGAACGAGCGCAACCCCCAUCCAAUGUUAGAUAUUCAUUGGAGACUGCCCCCUUCUCUGAGAAAACAAUACUUUUGUUUUUUGAGGGAAGGGGGAGGAAGGAGGGGACGACGUCAAGUCAGCACGGCGCUUAUGCCCUGGGCGACACACAUCCUACAAUGGCGAAUAACAACGAGAUGCAAGCACGCGAGUGCAAGCUAAUCUCUGAAAUUUCGCCUCAGUUCAGAUUGCAGUCUGCAACUCGACUGCAUGAAGUUGGAAUUGGUAGUAAUCGCGGAUCAGCAUGGUCGCGGUGAAUACGUUCUCGGGUCUUGUACACACCGCCCGUCAAGUCAACAAAGUUGGUAGUGGCUGAAGUAUUUCGCAAGAAGUCCUAAGCCAAGAUCAGCGAUGGGGACUAAGUCGACAAGGUAUCCCUAGCCGAAGCUGGGGAUGGAUCACCUCCUU